rnacentral:lncRNA from 1 species
ACUUCGUGUAUAUAAGACUUCCUGUGCAUGCGGCGGGUUUGUUGGCGAGGCCAAAUUCGACUGCAAUCUGUAGCAUGACAAUAGCGAACAAAAAACUUGAAAAUAAUUUUUUCGUAAUUUCAAAACUUUUUUAAACAACUUGUCAUUUAUCAUUUAGUUAGAUAAAUUAUAAACUAAUCAAUUAUAACAAUAAAAAAAACUUCUUUCAACGCAUCAUAUUAUAAAAACUUA